rnacentral:rRNA from 1 species
UACGUGGGGGGCAAGCGUUGUUCGGAAUUACUGGGCGUAAAGGGUUCGUAGGUGGCCAACUAAGUCAGACGUGAAAUCCCUCAGCUUAACUGGGGAACUGCGUCUGAUACUGGUCUGGCUUGAGUGCAGGAGAGGAACGCGGAAUUCCAGGUGUAGCGGUGAAAUGCGUAGAUAUCUGGAGGAACACCGGUGGCGAAGGCGGCAUCCUGGACCGGCAUUGACGCUGAGGCGCGAAAGCCAGGGGAGCAAACGGG